AAACUUACCUGGACGGGGUCUAUGGACGAUCAAGGUCUAUGGCCUAGGCUAAUGGCCUUCAUUGCACUAGGGAGGAGCAUUGGCUUACCAUCUCUCCAAGUGUGGGAGAGUGGACGUCAUAAUUUGUGGCAGAGGGGGUAGGUGUUCGUGCGGCCCCUA
rnacentral:snRNA from 1 species